rnacentral:rRNA from 1 species
UACGAAGGGGGCUAGCGUUGUUCGGAAUUACUGGGCGUAAAGCGCACGUAGGCGGGUCGUUAAGUCAGGGGUGAAAUCCCAGAGCUCAACUCUGGAACUGCCUUUGAUACUGGCGACCUAGAGUUCGGAAGAGGUUAGUGGAAUUCCCAGUGUAGAGGUGAAAUUCGUAGAUAUUGGGAAGAACACCAGUGGCGGAGGCGGCUAACUGGUCCGAUACUGACGCUGAGGUGCGAAAGCGUGGGGAGCAAACAGG